GGGGUAAGAGGCAAGGCCAGGGGUGAGAUCAUAGAUUUGCUUUUCCCGCUACGCCGCUGUGCUGCUAUCCCGUGAUGUUGAGCUUGUCGCUGAAACGCCACGCGACCCUCGCUGCAGAAGCUUGUGACUGCAGCUGGCGUGGUCCUGUGUCGGCAUGGUAUGCUACUUCGCCUCGUCAACCUCUUUCACGGGGAACGUCACAUGUACGCGACGGCGGCGGCGGCGUCCAUCCUGGCUGCGGGAACCGCUGUGCAGUUCUGGUGGUACGAUAUUGCCUGCCGCUGGAGCAAGUCGUGGCAGAAGUGGCACCAAGCUCUGGACCCGUCAACGGCGUGGCUGGGCGUCGCAGCGGCCAUGGUCAGCCUCGUGCCGCCGUUCCACAGCUAUGCCCACAGGUGUGCUUACGGGGAGGGGGCGGGCGUUCGGGGCAUGUAGGUUGCAAAGUACUCUAGCUGCUAUCUUACUCCGCAUCCCUUCAACCAUGUGCCUGCAGCUACGAGUGCCAGAAGACUUUCGGGCACCAAGGGCAAACGGGGGCAGGGCGGGGCACAGGAGAGAUCGUCGAAAUCUUCAACUCGCAGGUCGGGAAGCAGGGCAAGGUGCUGCGUUACACGUCGCCUGCGCACCGUGAGAGUGUUCUGGAGGAUGUGGGGCGCCGCUACUGCCGCCAGGUAAGGCUUUGUCGAGUGUCGAGGGUAGGCAGGCGGCAGGUUAGGCAGGCGCUCAUUCUGUGUGCCGUGAUGUGCAGGUCGAGCUUGGCCUGCCCGCUCGGGUUUACCGCAUGCGGUUGCGGGCCCAGGCAGCACAUGAUGCAGCGCAGGAUCGGAUUGAGACUCUGGAGGCCACGCUGACGCCGCAACAGGUGCGACUGGACUUCCCUGUAGACUCGUGUUACCUUGCUUACGGUUUCCAUGUGCCCAGCAGGUCGAGAUGGCAUGUGCCGGGCAUGCCGCUCAGCGCUCCCAGCAGCGGCAUGACCAGCCCAAACGACACGCCAACGCGGAUGCAGUGGCAGGCGAGCCAGGGUGGAAGGCAGUGUAUGCCCGCUGCCGCCUGGCGCUGAUGAAGCUGCAGCGUCUGGACACGGUAGACAACCCGGCCGACCCCGUGCCUCUCAGGUGCGCAAGCGGUGAAAGCCUUAUCUGCAUGCCUUACUUUCUUGCUUGGAUUGCAGUCGCUGAUGCCAUAUGUUGCGUGGGUGCAGCGUUCUGGUUGCCGGAGGUGACAAUCUGACGCUCCGACAGCGGCCUGCACUCAUCAAGCAGCUGGAGGAAGAGAAGAAGAAGCUGGAGCAGGAGCAUGCGGCGGCUGCUCCGCCACCACGCGAGUGGGAGGCGGACUCUGCUGCAUUCAAGGAGGCUGUCAGUGACCUGGCCGAGAGCGAGAUCAAGAAGAUCACCAGUGAAAUCGAGGUAGAGUGAUUGUGGUUGGGCAUGUGUAAGGCAGUCGGGGUAUAGGGCAGUGCCACGGCAGGCUGACUGUUGCGCUGCGGAAGUGUGCGCGGCGUUCACUAAUUUUGGGCUUCAUUGCAGGGCCUGGUGCUGGACUACAACAGCCUGAAGGUCAUAACGGAGAAGCUGGCGGGGAGGAAGAAGGAGCAGAGGUAUGCCAUCAAGGAGAAGCAGCGCGUGAAGGGGCAGCUUAGACAGCAGUGGGGCCGCUUGGCUGCCUGGUGCCGUGUGGACGCUGCAGGGCAGCAGGGACGGGAGGAGAAGGCACGCAACAAAAAGAUCUUGGAAGGGGGCUUGGCGGCGGUGCUUCGGGGGACGUUUCCAUGGGCCAGCGAUUCUGGGGCUGGAUCCAGCGGAGGGCGAGCAGUCGCUAGCCUUGUGCGCAGCUACAACCAGCGUGCUAGGGCGAAGGAGGAGCUGCGCUUGAUUGAGGCAGAGGUUGAGCGGGGCUGCGCCUACUACGAGCGCCGUGUGAGGAUUCUGAAAGCGGCGCAGGAAACAAGUGCGCCAGGCUUGGGGCUGCUGCUUAAGCCUCACCUUUCCCGCUGCGAGUUGAUGCUGAAAUCAUUUCAGGGACUGCAGCGCGGAGAUGUGCCGGACGACACUAGCCUUUCUGUGGAUACCGAGUAGGGUAGGCAUGCUGUUGUGCGCCGGCUGGCUUUGGUCGAGGUCGGCCGAUGGUGCUGUAAGUCGCAGAAUAGCAUUGAACAAGCAUACAAGUAAUGUUGGCAAGGCCGGCGGGGCCAGGCGGAGUAUUUGAGUUGGGCGGGUGUGCUCAGACAUGUCCGCUAGGGCGGGGGUUCGGGCGUGUCCCAGCCGGCACCCGGUUUGGUCGAGGUCGGCCGAUGGUGCUGUAAAUCGCAGAAUAGCAUUGAACAAGCAUACAAGUAAUGUUGGCAAGGCCGGCGGGGCCAGGCGGAGUAUUUGAGUUGGGCGGGUGUGCUCAGACAUGUCCGCUAGGGCGGGGUUGUGGCGGGUCGAGCUAUGGGCGGCUCCCCAGGGACCUUUUUGCACCGGGCUGGGGAGGGCAGAAAAGACCGAAAGCUCUAGGGGCUGGGGACCUAGGCAUCUCCCCAGGAACAAUUUGUAAUCAACCGCGAUGGCAGCACAGCUCCCCCGGGCCUCAAAAGCGUGCUGCCAUUGCCCGGCUUUCGCUCGCUGCCCAUCGCGCGCCCGGCACUCUCCUUCACUACCACUUGGCACCCCUCGCCAGCCAUAGUAAGCAGCCCCUGUACACAUAUGCACUAUACACUACCCCGCUACACAUGAUAUAGCUCCCCGGCACUAGUGGGGCCACCUCGACCAUGCUUAACAUGUCUGCGGCGACAACAUGAAAGAGUGGAAAGACAUCUACAAAAGUGACACAGUUGAAACCUCAUUAUUUAGGCGCAGUCGUGGUGGACGCAGGGGUGGCAUUGCAGCGGGCACUGGCGGCCGCCGUGGACGCAGCGAAGCGCAGCUAAGUGUAGGUGGUCAUUACACCGUCCACGAUCAUAAUGGUGUUGUAGAACAGGACGACGAGGAAGGAGCAGCCUACGUUCAACAUGCGGCGCCUCACACGCUCCCCGACGUUGAUAGCGACACCCUCAGCUCAGACCCCGCAGACAGCUCAGACGACGAUGGUGAGGGGGCCGGAGGCGCUGAGCCGAGGGGGCAGGAGACAAAAUAUCCGCUGCCAUACGAUAGCAGCGCUGUCGUGGAAGACUUCUUCCGCAGCGUCACAGCGGCUGAUAAGGUGUGCAGCGAACUGCGCACCGCGACCCAGAAGGUGCUGCAGUGCAGUGCGGACUUCGAGGCUGCCAGCACGGCGUGCCCUGUGUGUGGCAAGCCCGGAGAUCCCAAGGGCAUGCCCCCUUUCAAAGUCACAGUAGUGACCUGGGACCAGCCCGUGAGCAUUGAUGUGCCACACGUGACCUGCAGCAGCUGCAUGCGUGGGUACACCCUGCGGCCCACUGUGCUCGGCUGCCUGCCCGAUACCAUUGUAUCGUGGGAUUUGCUUCGGCAACGUGACGGCAAUGUCAUCCUCUGGUGGCAGACCAGCCUUCUACAGCAGUUCACCAGCCUACAAUACUACAACGGGCACCUGGGCAUGGACCGCUUUUGUGCGGCUCUCAUGGCCAACUGGCAGGAGAACGGCUGUGAUAGCCAGGGGCUUACGCUGACGCAGCUGAGGCAGCGCCUUAGUUCUACAUCGCAGCGGUACCGAUUUCUGCGCGGGCUAGUGGAGGACCUGCCGGAACAGCUUCCGGGCUGGCCCGCAGGAGCCCUCAACGCAUGCGCCUGCUGCGGUGAUGCCGAGGGUUGGCAUGGUACUGGCGCGGGCAGCAGCAGCGGCGGCGGCGGCGGCGGUGCUGCCGGUGGCGCGACCACGGCCGCAGCGCCCCUGGCGGAUCUGGCGCACAGGGCCCGGGGGCAGGAUGGGCCGGUGGCUGAGGCGGCGGCGCCAGACGCACCGAGCGCAGGUGCCGGCAUGGGCAGCAGCAGCGGCGGCGGCGGCGGCGGUGCUGCUGGCGAUGCGACCACGGCCGCCGCGCCUCUGGCGGAUCUGGCGCACAGGGCCCGGGGGCAGGACGGGCCGGUGGCUAAGGCGGCGGCGCCAGGCGCGCCCAGCGCAGGCGCCGGCAUGGGCAGCAGCAGCGGCGGCGGCGGCGGCGGUGCUGCCGGUGGCGCGACCACGGCCGCAGCGCCCCUGGCGGAUCUGGCGCACAGGGCCCGGGGGCAGGAUGGGCCGGUGGCUGAGGCGGCGGCGCCAGACGCACCGAGCGCAGGUGCCGGCAUGGGCAGCAGCAGCGGCGGCGGCGGCGGCGGUGCUGCUGGCGAUGCGACCACGGCCGCCGCGCCUCUGGCGGAUCUGGCGCACAGGGCCCGGGGGCAGGAUGGGCCGGUGGCUAAGGCGGCGGCGCCAGGCGCGCCCAGCGCAGGCGCCGGCAUGGGCAGCAGCAGCGGCGGCGGCGGCGGCGGUGCUGCCGGCGAUGCGACCACGGCCGCCGCGCCUCUGGCGGAUCUGGCGCACAGGGCCCGGGGGCAGGAUGGGCCGGUGGCUGAGGCGGCGGCGCCAGGCGCGCCGAGCGCAGGCGCCGGCAUGGGCAGCAGCAGCGGCGGCGGCGGCGGCGGUGCUGCCGGCGAUGCGACCACGGCCGCCGCGCCUCUGGCGGAUCUGGCGCACAGGGCCCGGGGGCAGGAUGGGCCGGUGGCUGAGGCGGCGGCGCCAGGCGCGCCGAGCGCAGGCGCCGGCAUGGGCAGCAGCAGCGGCGGCGGCGGCGGCGGUGCUGCCGGCAGCGGCGGCGCGAGCCCUUCACUUGGGUUCGCGUGGCGGCCAAUGCUGGCGGCCGCUGAGCCGGCUGGUCGAGGCCCUCCUAUCUUUCAUACUGGCGCGUUCGAUUGCAACUUCAAGCUAAGCCUGUUUAAGAAGAAGGGACUCACCCACAAGUACGGCCUCGACUACCGCCAACUGUCGCGCCGGCGGUACACCCUGGGCAAUGCAUACGUGAGGGGCUUUGAGCCGCCCAAGGGGUCUGCGGACGUAGGUCGCAAUGCGGACUGCUCCAGCUUCACCGCGGACAAGGUGCUGGCCAAGGAGGAGGCCGGGGUAAGAGGCAAGGCCAGGGGUGAGAUCAUAGAUUUGCUUUUCCCGCUACGCCGCUGUGCUGCUAUCCCGUGAUGUUGAGCUUGUCGCUGAAACGCCACGCGACCCUCGCUGCAGAAGCUUGUGACUGCAGCUGGCGUGGUCCUGUGUCGGCAUGGUAUGCUACUUCGCCUCGUCAACCUCUUUCACGGGGAACGUCACAUGUACGCGACGGCGGCGGCGGCGUCCAUCCUGGCUGCGGGAACCGCUGUGCAGUUCUGGUGGUACGAUAUUGCCUGCCGCUGGAGCAAGUCGUGGCAGAAGUGGCACCAAGCUCUGGACCCGUCAACGGCGUGGCUGGGCGUCGCAGCGGCCAUGGUCAGCCUCGUGCCGCCGUUCCACAGCUAUGCCCACAGGUGUGCUUACGGGGAGGGGGCGGGCGUUCGGGGCAUGUAGGUUGCAAAGUACUCUAGCUGCUAUCUUACUCCGCAUCCCUUCAACCAUGUGCCUGCAG
rnacentral:lncRNA from 1 species